GACGAACGCUGGCGGCGUGCCUAACACAUGCAAGUCGAACGAAGCACUUGAGCUUGCUUGAGUGACUUAGUGGCGGACGGGUGAGUAAUACAUGAGCAACCUGCCUCAAAGAGGGGGACAACAGUUGGAAACGACUGCUAAUACCGCAUAACGUCAUUUUUCCGUCAUGGAGAGAUGACCAAAGAUUUAUCGCUGAGAGAUGGCCUCGCGUCUGAUUAGAUAGUUGGUGGGGUAACGGCCUACCAAGUCGACGAUCAGUAGCCGGACUGAGAGGUUGACCGGCCACAUUGGGACUGAGACACGGCCCAGACUCCUACGGGAGGCGGCAGUGGGGGAAUAUUGCGCAAUGGGGGCGAACCCUGACGCAGCAACGCCGCGUGAAGGAAGAAGGUCUUCGGAUUGUAAACUUUUGUCUUUAGGGAAGAAUAAUGACGGUACCUAAGGAGGAAGCUCCGGCUAACUACGUG
rnacentral:rRNA from 1 species